GGUGCCGUAGCCAAGCAGUAAGGCAGGGGUCUGCAAAACCCCCAUACGCGGGUGCAAUUCUCGCCGGCACCUCCA
rnacentral:tRNA from 1 species